AACUGCGAGUGAAGCGGGAAAAGCUCAAAUUUAAAAUCUGGCAGUCAUUGGCUGUCCGAGUUGUAAUUUAGAGAAGCGUCUUCCGCGCUGGACCGUGCACAAGUCUCCUGGAAUGGAGCGUCAUAGAGGGUGAGAAUCCCGUCUUUGGCACGGAUGCCCGGUGCUUCUGUGAUGCGCUCUCGAAGAGUCGAGUUGUUUGGGAAUGCAGCUCAAAAUGGGUGGUGAACUCCAUCUAAAGCUAAAUAUUGGCGAGAGACCGAUAGCGAACAAGUACCGUGAGGGAAAGAUGAAAAGCACUUUGGAAAGAGAGUGAAACAGUACGUGAAAUUGUUGAAAGGGAAACGCUUGAAGUCAGUCGCGUCGACCAAGACUCAGCCUUGCCUUGGCUUGGUGUACUUCUUGGGCCGACGGGUCAGCAUCAAUUUUGCUCCUCGGAUAAUGGCAAGGGAAAGGUGGCACCYUUACGGGUGUGUUAUAGUCUCCUGUCGCAUGCGAGGGGUGGGAUUGAGGAACUCAGCGUGCACCUUGGGUCGGGGCCUUU
rnacentral:rRNA from 1 species